AUGGGGCUGUGGGGGCGACGACAACAUCGACAUCGACACGGGGCUGCGGCGGCGGUAGCGACAAUGACGACAUUGACAUCAACAUGGGGCUGUGGUGGUGGCGACGAUGACGACGACAUCAUCACGGUGCUGCAGCGGCGAGGACGACGACAUCAUCAUGAUGCUGCAGCGGCGGCGACUACGACGACAUCAACACCAUCAACACGGGCUUGUGGAGGCGCCGACGCCGACGACCUAUACGCGUGGCGUAUAUUGUGUGUGUAUAUAUAUAUAUAUAUAUAUAUAUAUAUAUAUAUAUAUAUAUAUAUCUAUGUAUGUAUGUAUGUAUGUAUUAAAUAUCUAUUUUAG
rnacentral:rRNA from 1 species